GAAAUGCGAUAAGUAAUGUGAAUUGCAGAAUUCAGUGAAUCAUCGAAUCUUUGAACGCACCUUGCGCCUUUUGGUAUUCCGAAAGGCAUGCCUGUUUGAGUGUCAUGUAGACUCAACCCCUCGGGUUUCUUGCCCGAGGUGCGUUGGAUUUGGGCCCUGCCUACCUGGCUGGCCUUAAAUGUGCUAGCGGUGACCGCGCAGACGUUGUAAGCACUCGUCGACCGUCGGGCCCGCUCAUAACCCCACCUACUUUUGCACUCUGACCUCAAAUCAGGUAGGGCUACCCGCUGAACUUAA
rnacentral:misc_RNA from 1 species